rnacentral:rRNA from 1 species
AUACGGAGGGGGUUAGCGUUGCUCGGAAUUACUGGGCGUAAAGCGCACGUAGGCGGACUGGAAAGUUGGGGGUGAAAUCCCGGGGCUCAACCCCGGAACUGCCUCCAAAACUUCCAAUCUAGAGAUCGAGAGAGGUGAGUGGAAUUCCAAGUGUAGAGGUGAAAUUCGUAGAUAUUUGGAGGAACACCAGUGGCGAAGGCGGCUCACUGGCUCGAUACUGACGCUGAGGUGCGAAAGCGUGGGGAGCAAACAGGAUUAGAAACCCGGGUAGUCC